AGCAUUUGAAGAACAAAGUUUGGAAGAAAUGGUGUGAAGGAAGCUUGCAAGGCAAAGAAGCUGUACUUCCUUCAGUUCGCGCCGCGACCCAUGUUGGCGCCGUGAACCCUGCGAAGACAGCAAGCUUGUUAAUUAGUUUUGGGUCACUUAUUAUGUUUUGAACCCAACUUAAGUGUGAUAGUUUUAGAACAUUUUGAGAUCACUUUUCUAUUUUAGACCAAAAGGAGAUUAUUAGGGAAAGUUUGAACUCUUUAAACACACAAUGGGAGAAAAUGAGAGAUUAUUAUUAUCACAAGUUUUGGAGAAG
rnacentral:lncRNA from 1 species